GAUGAACGCUGACAGAAUGCUUAACACAUGCAAGUCGACCGGAAUGUGGGUGUUUAUGUUAGGUUUGGGUGGCGGACGGGUGAGUAACGCGUAAAGAACUUGCCUCACAGCUAGGGACAACAUUUGGAAACGAAUGCUAAUACCUAAUAUUAUGAUAAUAGGGCCUCCUAUAAUUAUGAAAGCUAUAAGCGCUUGGGGAGAGCCUCGCGGCUCAUUAGCUUGUUGGUGGGGUAACGGCUUACCAAGGCGUUGAUGGGUAGCCGGCCUGAGAGGGGGACCGGGCACAAAGGGAACGGGGACACGGCCCUUACUCUUCCGGGAGGAGGCGGUGGGAAUUAUGCGACAAGGGACCGAGAGUCUGAUCGAGACAUUCUGUGUGCACGAUGAAGUUUUUCGGAAUGAAAAGUGCUUUCAGUUGGGAAGAAGCGAGUGACGGUACCAACAGAAGAAGUGACGGCUAAAUACGUG
rnacentral:rRNA from 1 species